AAAGAAACUAACAAGGAUUCCCCUAGUAACGGCGAGUGAAGAGGGAAGAGCUCAAAUUUUAAAUCUGCCUUGUUCCAAGGUCGAGUUGUAAUUUGAAGAAGCGUUUUCUUGGGCUCGCGGCCGGUAGAAGUUCUUUGGAACAGGACAUCAUAGAGGGUGACAAUCCCGUCCGUGACCGGUCGUGCGUUCAUCUACGAUACGCUUUCAAAGAGUCGAGUUGUUUGGGAUUGCAGCUCCAAACGGGUGGUAAACAUCACCUAAGGCUAAAUAUUGGCGAGAGACCGAUAGCGAACAAGUACCGUGAGGGAAAGAUGAAAAGAACUUUGAAAAGAGAGUUAAACAGUACGUGAAAUUGUUGAAAGGGAAACGAUUGAAGUCAGUCGUGCUGGCGCGAAAUCAACCCUCUCGUCUUGAGAUCACAUGGCGCGACGAGCCUCAAAACCGUCACGAAGCGUGAACUCUUGACGAAAAGGUGCACUUUCGUGUCCGCUGGUUAACAUCAAUUUCGAACGUCAUAAAAAGGCUGGAGGGAUGUGGCUCCUUCGGGAGUGUUAUAACCUUUAGCGGAAUGUGGCGUUCGGGAUUGAGGAUUGCAACGAAUACCUUCAGGGCUGUUCCACCUGGCUUCUCAUUGGUAUCCUGGUGACGACAGCUUGCUGACGUCGUUAGGAUCAGCUUCUGAACAGGCUAGAGUGUGAGCAAAUUCGUUAAGGAUGUUAACGUAAUGGCUUUAAACGACCCGUCUUG
rnacentral:rRNA from 3 species